rnacentral:ncRNA from 1 species
ACGAUUGAGGCGCAGCUGACAUCAGUAUUGCCCGUUAGGAGGCGAAUCCUUUCGAUGACCGGGCAGGAAAGGGGAAGCUGCCGAAGAGAAUGUCGGAUUCGCAGGCGUUUAUCUGGACGGGCAUGAGAAUAUCUGUCCGGCUGUCACCGGUUUGCUCCCGUGAUGCGCUAUCG